rnacentral:rRNA from 1 species
UACGAAGGGGGCUAGCGUUGCUCGGAAUCACUGGGCGUAAAGGGUGCGUAGGCGGGUCUUUAAGUCAGGGGUGAAAUCCUGGAGCUCAACUCCAGAACUGCCUUUGAUACUGAGGAUCUUGAGUACGGGAGAGGUGAGUGGAACUGCGAGUGUAGAGGUGAAAUUCGUAGAUAUUCGCAAGAACACCAGUGGCGAAGGCGGCUCACUGGCCCGUAAACUG